rnacentral:rRNA from 1 species
AGCGAACGCUGGCGGCAGGCCUAACACAUGCAAGUCGAACGAACUCUUCGGAGUUAGUGGCGGACGGGUGAGUAACACGUGGGAACGUGCCUUUUGGUUCGGAAUAACUCAGGGAAACUUGUGCUAAUACCGAAUGUGCCUUCGGGGGAAAGAUUUAUCGCCAUUAGAGCGGCCCGCGUCUGAUUAGCUAGUUGGUGAGGUAACGGCUCACCAAGGCGACGAUCAGUAGCUGGUCUGAGAGGAUGACCAGCCACACUGGGACUGAGACACGGCCCAGACUCCUACGGGAGGCAGCAGUGGGGAAUCUUGCGCAAUGGGCGAAAGCCUGAUGCAGCCAUGCCGCGUGAAUGAUGAAGGUCUUAGGAUUGUAAAAUUCUUUCACCGGGGACGAUAAUGACGGUACCCGGAGAAGAAGCCCCGGCUAACUUCGUG